rnacentral:rRNA from 1 species
UACGUAGGUGGCAAGCGUUGUCCGGAAUUAUUGGGCGUAAAGCGCGCGCAGGCGGUCCUUUAAGUCUGAUGUGAAAGCCCACGGCUCAACCGUGGAGGGUCAUUGGAAACUGGGGGACUUGAGUGCAGAAGAGAAGAGUGGAAUUCCAUGUGUAGCGGUGAAAUGCGUAGAGAUGUGGAGGAACACCAGUGGCGAAGGCGACUCUUUGGUCUGUAACUGACGCUGAGGCGCGAAAGCGUGGGGAGCAAACAGG